rnacentral:misc_RNA from 1 species
CUUUGACUCAGUCGCAGAAUGGAGUCGCCAAAACAGCUUUGCCUCUUUUGCCGGCAGCAUGAAAAAGUUUUAAACAUUGGUGAAAUCGAAAUAUGCCAGCGAUGCAACACCCGCUACGGUCAAUUAUGCCUCAUCUACAAACGGAGAGUUUCCUCCUCUCUCUCGCCUCUGGGUUGGGAUGCUCGGCUUGUUAGUCAUUGCCCGAACAGCAAUGUAUACCCAGAUGACGACGCACCAGUGUUCUACAUUCAAUGCAGCAAAGGCCACAUCACUGUUACGACGGCAGUUGAUAGAGUUGCCUUUUUUGCCGCUGCCAGUCGUCUUCAAUUCGACACCAAGUGUCGGAAGCCGUAUGCCCAGAAGGCAAAGAAGACUGCGAGAAAAAGAAGCUGACAGGCAAUCGCUGACUCUUUGUGUCCUUUCUCUGGGCUAAGUGUGCUCACUUAUGUUGAAGGAUUGUUGGACUGCCGUUUUCCCAUCCUCAGUUGUCAACUUCGCUCAGUAAAAAAAAUCGCCUCUUGGUAGAUCUGCCCAAAGUACACAAAAGCAUUUGAGUAGCACCUUGUUUUUUUUUUUAGGGAACCAUUGCUAACUGUUCCUCUAGAGCGAAACAAGAGACUCUCAUUGAAGUCUCUUUUUUUUUCUCGCUGAGCAAUUACAGCUAGCAUAUAUAAUGCUUGCGAUCUUUGCGUGUUUCGCGUACACGUUCUACGUGAGGCUGCCUGCUCCUCUGUUGGGCUUUGAAUCUAUAUGUUCAUCUGUCUCUCGCAUCUCGUCUACACUUUUUUUUUGAGCUUGACAUCUCUCUCUUUGAGGGACUGUGGUAG